GUUGUACAGGGAGCUGUUCUGAUUGUGCUACUGAGACUGUUCUUCCAGUGAGUGAAAUGUUUUCAUGCCAGGAGAGGUCAAACUACUAUUAUUACUGCUCAUCGGCUUUCUCCCACUCAGAUUGCAGUGUAAUCGUGGGCAUUGUGGAUGGCACAGUGGUGAAAAUGGGAACACACACAGAGCUGAUGGGGAAAAAGGAGCCAGAUUAUUCACUUCCAACCUCACAGAAAUCUCUGUCCCAAAUGUAUUUCCUGAAGACACUGAAAUAAACAAGUAUUAAUAGUCAUCUUUUGGUCCAGAAGGGCUAGCCUUGAAGCUAGGUGGCUGUCGUGUUCAGCAGAGUAACCUGUUGAAGAAACAGCCUCCACUGACUGUUUAAAUUGUGCUGGAUUUAGUGUUUGUAGCCAAGGAAUCAUGGUAUGGGAAGUGAGGAAGUGUUUGCUGUGGAACAGUUUUGAUUUGGUUGUUUCUAUACUUAUUCUUACAAGCUACUGCGAUAAACCAUGUAUAUCAUGUAAG
ensembl:lncRNA